UUUUAUACAGAUACGUCAUCAGAGAUGUAAAUGGCAACGCAGUUGUAGUGGAAUCCGUGGAAUGAACCACUAAUCUAGGGGGGAAAUGAAGCAAAGUUACAUUAUCUGGAGAUAAUUGUGCGUGUUAUUGGUGGAAUUGGUGACCUUUUCAAAAUAUAUUCUUUGGUGGAUUGUUCUUUAUACAUGCACAUGUAAUAAAAAAAACAUUUAGGGGAGCUUAUUGUACUGAUGAUUUGCUAGGAUUUCAUUUUUUUCUCAAAUCUCACCUUAUUGGAUCUAUCAUUUAUGAAAAUGAUCUCAAAUCUUUGGUUAUUGGACUUAUCGUUUAUACAAACUCUAUCAAAUCCUCUC
rnacentral:lncRNA from 1 species